rnacentral:misc_RNA from 1 species
GAUGAAGAACGCAACGAAAUGCGAUAAGUAAUGUGAAUUGCAGAAUUCAGUGAAUCAUCGAAUCUUUGAACGCACAUUGCGCCCUCUGGUAUUCCGGGGGGCAUGCCUGUUCGAGCGUCAUUAUAACCACUCAAGCUCUCGCUUGGUAUUGGGGUUCGCGGUUUCGCGGCCCCUAAAAUCAGUGGCGGUGCCUGUCGGCUCUACGCGUAGUAAUACUUCUCGCGAUUGAGUUCGAUAGGUCUACUUGCCAGUAACCCCCAAUUUUUACAGGUUGACCUCGGAUCAGGUAGGGAUACCCGCUGAACUUAAGCAUAUCAAUAAGCGGAGGA